UCCUUCUUAGCUCAGUUGGUAGAGCGCGUCACUAGUAUAAUCGUAAAUGACGAGGUCAGUCGUUCAAGUCGGCUAGAAGGAA